GAUGAACGCUAGCUACAGGCUUAACACAUGCAAGUCGAGCGACCGGCGCACGGGUGAGUAACACGUAUCCAACCUGCCCUUUACUCGGGGAUAGCCUUACGAAAGAAAGAUUAAUACCCGAUGUUAUGGAUGGGGGUGCGUUCCAUGAGGUUGUUGGGGAGUUAACGGCUCACCAAGCAUUCGAUGGAUAGGGGUUCUGAGAGGAAGGGACCCUGCAUUGGAAAUAAGAAACGGUCCAAACUGCGAAGAGAGGCAGCAGAUAGUAGUAUUGGUGAAUCGGUCUUAGCGUAAACAAGCCAAGUAGUGGAAAGAGUGAAUGGUUAGUGAUCCUAUACUUGUUGUGUAGAAGAAGAUGUAUUAUAUGAAUAAGCAUCGGCUAACUCCGUGCCAGCCGCCGCGGUAAUUC
rnacentral:rRNA from 1 species